GAUGAACGCUCGCGAUAGGCCUAACACAUGCAAGUCGAGCGGCAGCAUGGUCUUAGCUUGUUAAGACUGAUGGCGACCGGCGCACGGGUGCGUAACGCGUAUGCAACUUGCCUCACAGAGGGGGAUAACCCGUCGAAAGACGGAUUAAUACCGCGUACACUUGGGAUAGGGCUUCCUGACCCAAGGAAAUGAAACUCGCUGUUAGAUAUGCAUGCGUUCCAUUAGCUCGUUGGUGAGGUAACGGCUCACCAAGGAGACGAUGGGUAGGGGAACUGAGAGGUUGCAACCCCGGACUGGUACUGAGGCACGGACCAGACUGCUACGGGAGGCAGGAGUGAGGAAUAUUAGUCAAUGGAGGAGGACCUAAACCAGCCAAGUCGCGUGAAGAAGGACUGUCUUAUGAAUUGUAAACUUCUUUUAUACAGGAAUAACAUGAGUAACGUGUGGCUCCCUGAAUGUACCGUAUGAAUAAGCAUCGGCUAACUCCGUG
rnacentral:rRNA from 1 species